rnacentral:tRNA from 1 species
ACCUACUAGGCUCAGUGGGUAGAGUGUGCGACUCUUGAUCUCAGGGUCGUGAGUUCAAGCCCACAUUGGGCG